GCAAGAGCUGUGAAACUCUAUGACGUCAUACGCUCUGUGGCCGUUAUGGCAGUUGGUUCAGUUAUGGCAGUGAGCAGUUACGUUGUGUUGUGCAGGCACGGUCGCCAAGAAUGGGGGGGAUGCCAAGCACACACCCCCAAUUCCAAAUGAGAGGGUUGGCCCCCCAAAUUUCUGCACCCACAGGGUGUCCACACACACGUCAGCAUGCUCUGCGGUGUGCACGCUGAUGACAGGAACGAAAGGAGGGGAGUUAGCAAAAGUGGAAGCAAAGGCCAAACGUAACAAACUGCCAAACUACAUGAAAUGUUGGAGAUCUGUGAUGAGAUGGACUGAGAGCCACCAACUUUGAUGACUUUAAAGGAGGACUAGGGAAACUUAUGGAAGAUGAGGCUAUCAGUGACUACCACGAUGGCUGUGUUUUCCAACCACUGUCUGAAUGCCUUCAUAACUCUUGAUAGAAAGUCAUGUCCCAAACCGACAAUUUAAAACAAAACAAAAAACACCAGCGAUCCAAGGCCACAGUUGGGCAGUUGGACAAGAGCCAAGAAGAUCCACACCAGAAUGACAGUGAAGGACAAAACUGAUCUGGAAUGUGGCAGAAGUGCUGGCCUGGAUGCCUUUCAAAGAGGAGUCUGCUGUCCAAGCACUUACCCAUCACACUUCCCCUCAUGUGUGGAAACCUUAUCAGCUCUAAAGACUUUGGAACUAAGCAGCAGGGGGAAGAAGGGAAGGAGAUGACCUUGUAGACAAGUGUGGCCUUGACUUUCAGAAGGACAUUCUAUAAUGAGAUCAUUUCAAACUUUCCGGUUUGUGUACCUGUCCG